ensembl:lncRNA
CCUGAGACUGAGGAAACAGCUGAGGGUUUUUUUUUUUUUGGUGGGCGCGAAAGUGUUGCACUGACAGGCGCGCGCUCCGACUGGGCACGAGAACCAGGGACACUUUCUUGAUACACACAUACACGCGCGCGCGCACAAACACACACACACACACACACACUCGCGCGCGCGCAAACACACACACACACACACACUCACACACAGAGGGAUGGCGAAAGAGACACGAGAGAAAGCAGGGAGAGAUUUCUCAGCAGAUAGCUGCAUUAAUCCAUGC